rnacentral:tRNA from 1 species
GCUUAUGUAGCUCAGUCGGUAGAGCACUCCCAUGGUAAGGGAAAGGUCACCGGUUCAAAUCCGGUCGCAAGCU